UAACAAUAAAUGAACAUGUUUGUGUUUGGAGAUUGCUGAGGUUAAUAUCUUCACAAUUGGGAAAUCCCAACAUAAGUUGACUGCCAGUUUGACCACUGAUCUGCAUAAUAUCAGUGGGAGAGCAUGCUGAAUCCCGCAGCUUCUGCACCAUAUGUUUCCUGGCUGAGUGGUUGAAAGUUGCGACAACACAUUCCAUGGGUGAUGAUAUCUACCAAAAUUCUUGGCGGCACAGUUCUACCCUCGUCAGUUGCACUUGUCCGAGUCUUUCUCUGCCUCUCAUCCAACUCGAGAUACCCCCCCCCCCCCCCAACUGCAUGCCGGCACAGCUUCACAUCAACCCAUCUAAUUAAUUUGUCGGAAAGGUUGACUACACAAAUUUCCUGUUUGGUUGUGGAGAUAGAAUCAUUUUUUUGUGAAAGUUUGAUUUCAGACAUUUAAAAAUUGAAAUUGUCAUGUAUUAUUAGGCAUGGCAGGCAUCAGCAAAGCAUCUCAAUCAAGUAUUAAUUAUUUUACUUUGUCAAUGUCAAUUCAUUGUGUAUGCUAUUCAUCUGUUUGCCUUGCAUUUUAUAAGAAUGACACAAACAAGGAAAGCAUUUGUAAAGUAUUAGUUUUUUUUUAUAUAUAUAUAAAUUAAUCUUAGACGAGAUGUUUAGUGAAUAUUUGUCAUAAAUUCUUCUUUAACUUGAUCAAAUCUGUCAUAUUUUAUUUAAAACGUGUUAAGUAUUUUUGUGUUACGUUUUAAAUGUUUAUCAUUACUGUUUUACAUUGUAUUCAUCAGCAGCCAGUGAAUGGUAGCGGUGCACAUUUGUAUUUGUUUAAUUUUUUUCCAUUGAUCAAUGCUCAUUUAAUUUAUAUUUCCCUAUAUAUAUAUAUACUUAAUAAGGUGUUAGUUUUGUUUAAAAAAACAACUU